CAUACCCGAUCUCCAGAGAUCUUUGCCAAUUUUUUUUCCAGCAGCCGCGGUAAUUCCAGCUCCAGUAGCGUAUAUUAAAGUUGUUGCAGUUAAAAAGCUCGUAGUUGAACUUUGGGUCUGGUUGUCCGGUCCGACUUUAUGUCGCGCACUGGUUUUCAACCGGAUCUUUCCUUCUGGCUAACCUGUACUCCUUGUGGGUGCAGGCGAACCGGGACUUUUACUUUGAAAAAAUUAGAGUGUUCAAAGCAGGCGAAAGCUCGAAUAUAUUAGCAUGGAAUAAUGGAAUAGGACGUUUGGUUCUAUUUUGUUGGUUUCUAGGGACCAUCGUAAUGAUUAAUAGGGACGGUCGGGGGCAUCAGUAUUCAAUUGUCAGAGGUGAAAUUCUUGGAUUUAUUGGAGACUAACUACUGCGAAAGCAUUGCCAAGGACGUUCAUAUCAGACGAAUGG
rnacentral:rRNA from 1 species